CGGCGGCUCCGCCCUCGGCGUGUCCCGGGCGCGGCGGGCUGAGCGCGGUGCUGGCCCCGCUCUGCUGGCCCUGCUCUGCCGCUGCUCCGCGCCUCCGCCCGGCCUCACGCUGCGAGGGAGCCGCGCACCGGCGGCGGUUUCUGUGGCAUUUUAUCUGGACAGGAGGGGAAAGCAGACAGAUGCAUGUGAGUGCCCCAUGGCUGCAGCUGCCUCAGUUCACUCAUUUGUUGCCUAUUGUAACUUGGAAGAAUUCUUUAGGUCGGUUCAUCUUCUGGGACCCAUCCCUGCCUUCUGGUUAAGGAAUCCAUGCACACAUACAGGAUGA
rnacentral:lncRNA from 1 species